rnacentral:rRNA from 1 species
AGAGUUUGAUCAUGGCUCAGGAUGAACGCUGGCGGUCUGCUUAACACAUGCAAGUCGAACGAACUCUUCGGAGUGAGUGGCGGACGGGUGAGUAACGCGUGAGAAUCUACCUGUGGGUCGGGGACAACCACUGGAAACGGUGGCUAAUACCGGAUGAGCCGAAAGGUAAAAGAUUUAUUGCCCACAGAUGAGCUCGCGUCUGAUUAGCUAGUUGGUAAGGUAAAAGCGUACCAAGGCGACGAUCAGUAGCUGGUCUGAGAGGAUGAGCAGCCACACUGGGACUGAGACACGGCCCAGACUCCUACGGGAGGCAGCAGUGGGGAAUUUUCCGCAAUGGGCGAAAGCCUGACGGAGCAAGACCGCGUGGGGGAGGAAGGUUUUUGGAUCGUAAACCCCUUUUGUCAAGGAAGAAGCUCUGACGGUACUUGACGAAUAAGCCUCGGCUAACUCCGUGCCAGCAGCCGCGGUAAUACGGAGGAGGCAAGCGUUAUCCGGAAUGAUUGGGCGUAAAGCGUCUGUAGGUGGCCAGCUAAGUCUGCUGUUAAAGAUCACAGCUCAACUGUGGGAAGGCAGUGGAAACUG